rnacentral:rRNA from 1 species
UACGUAGGAGGCGAGCGUUGUCCGGAAUUACUGGGCGUAAAGAGCGCGUAGGUGGCGCGAUACGACCGGUGUGAAAUCCUCCGGCUCAACUGGAGGGGGUCACUGGUAACGGUCGUGCUGAUGAGUGCAGGAGAGGGACGUGGAACUCCGGGAGUAGCGGUGAAAUGCGUAGAGACCCGGAGGAACACCAGUGGCGAAGGCA